GUGCUCGCUUUGACAGCGCAUAUACUAAAAUUGGAACGACGCAGAGAAGAUUAGCAUGGCCCCUGCGCAAGGAUGACACGCGAAUUCGUGAAGCGUUCCAUUUAAAA
ensembl:snRNA LOC120095349 U6 spliceosomal RNA